UCUUGCUGGAGAUUUCUGCCUACUUGAGGCCUUCCAAAGAAUCAGGGUGCUGAUGAUAAGGCUAAGAAGGAGAGUUAGCAUCAUUUCAAGAGGAGUGGAAACAAGCCUGAACCUGAUGUGUUCUUCAAAAUAAACCUUGGGGCUCUCAGAAGAGACCAUUCCUCUGGCAGUAUCUGAGCCUGACAGAGCAACAAGAGACAUUAGUUCUCAGCUGUGGACCUUGCUUCCUCUGCCUGGGCUACACUUCACACCAUUUGUACCCAACAGAUGAAAGUGUCAGCACUGGUCAUCGCGCUAUAGCUUUUUACAUACAUCUUCCAUUUUUACAGACAAGCCUGGAUGCAAAUAUUUGUAGUCUGGAGAAGUAGUUUGGCAACCUAAUUUAUAAGCGUUAAUGGAUAAUUGUUAGCAAUUAAAUGUUUGAUUACCCAACUGAGCCUAUGGAUCAGGUUGCUAGAUUUCCAUCUGCUAAUAGCUGUGUGCACAGGGGAUCAUGGGGCUGGAAACAGGAGCAAAGACGGGGUGUAAAGAUGCAAAUCUAACUCAGCACAUAUGAAGCUCAGCUUGUGAGAAAACAUGAGGCUUCACCUCUCUGUUCCUUUUGUAACUCUGCUUUCAAAACUGUGGUGCAAAUGUCUGCAGAUUUAAAAAAGCAUCCACUGUAUUAGAGAUGGAAGAAUUAGACCAGCGUCUAAUUUGAAAGCCCAGAAUUAAGCCAGUUUUAAAUGGAUUUGAAGCAGCCUUCUGUCUGUUUCCAGGCAUGGGUAUUAUUCUGGGAGCUCCUGGUCUGUCACCAAAGGUUUGGCCUUUGUCAAGGGGUGAGGCAAUUGUCCCACCAACAUAUUGCACAGCAGUGGCUGCAUAGUGUACAACGAUUUGGGAAAUUUGGCUGGCUUUGUGUUUGUUUUCCCUCUGCCUCAGCUGAGUUGUCCUCAGUGACUGCUGUUUAGCAACUGUGCAGAGCGGGAGAUGUGAGUAUCACACUGGCUACUGCUGGGCCCUGCCUAUUGACAUUUGCAAUCAAAAGCCCUGGAUGCAGUGAGAUCCCAUAGGAAACACAUGGCUCCCUGCGUGAGCAGCAGCUUUCAGAACUCCAGAGCUAAAAGGGAGGACUCGUUAGAUGAUGGGAAGUUUCCUGAAGUCUGAAGGAAGGCAAGAUCCCCAUCCCUGGCAGCAUGGGAGCAGUACAACUACUCCACAUCAAUAAGUAAUCUUAACAUGGGAAGCAAAGGUUAAUGACUAAUCUGUUUACCUGAGCUUCAUUAAUCAAAGAUUUACUAGAAGUCAGAAUCUGAUCACUGCUCAGGCACAGACAGCUCUGUUUCCAGGUUAAAGAAGACAACCACGCAGCCCGCACAAAGCGUGUAACUCAAUACUGAGCAAUUUUCCCAGUGUGUGGAUGACAAAGGGGAGCAUCAAAGAGAAAAGGCUCUAAUCAGAGGGGAUUAGAUCGGGGCUGCAUGGUGCAGAGGGAAAGCCUCAGUCUGCAGUGAUAUGAAGAAGAGUUCAGCUAUGCCUAGCAGCAAUAUUAUCAGCCAUCUGAGAUGAUUAUGGGGUAUUCUUAUGUCAUGAAAUAUUAUCUUGUUCUCCAUUACAACUGACACCUCAGUAAUAGCACCUGUAAAGAUUAACAAGUUGCCAGGGGACUCCGAAAAUACCCAGCACAGGGGUGGGGAAACAUCAGGUGGCAAGUGCAGAAUGCCUGGGGAGCUGCCCUGCUACCCUUCCUUCAGCACUGGUACAAGGCGUGCUGUAAAAUGCAUCUGCUUAAUGGGGCUAUUUAGAACUUUAUGUGUGUUGUGACAGUUAAUGUCCACAUUACGGUUCUAAUUAUGAUCUGGAGGUUGAAGGCACUAAAGAAAAAAAAAAUACCAGCUUGGGUUCUUGGUGUUGACUGUUUGAUGUGUAACUUUAACCCAAUGAUUUGCUCUCCUCCGUGCUCCUGGAAUGACAGACCCUCUCUUCUUAAAGCAAGCAUUGGAGAUGACUUUCUGAUGAGCCUGCUUCUUCCCCCCACAGACAACUACCUUACACACUGGCUUUGGGGACUGAGCAAACCAGAUCAGAAAAAAUUGUCUUAAGUAAGGCUGAUUCUUUGAAUUCAAGGGACAGUAAUGCCUCUGUAUGUGGGAUUGUCACAGACGCUGGCUAGAAAAAUGUUGGAAAAUGCUCCACUAAACCAGAGAGUCCAAUGCAUUUUGCUCUGUAGUGGUCUGGGAUUCUUUACAUUGGUCUCUUGUUAUGUCUCAUGAUUCCAGUGUUGUUUGCAACAAAGAAAAAUAAGUGUGCUAAGCAGGGAAAGAGCUCACUGAGUGCUGAGCUCAGGUGUUGUAGUCACUGCUCCAGGCAUGGCACACAGGUAUUUCCCUCUGGCGGAGAGGUGAUGCUGCUAGUGCUGCGUGGGACCUGUAGGCACUGCAGUCGGUUAGUGCCAAUGGUUACAAAGUGCUGCAGCCAUGCAUAGCUACAAAAGGGCUGUGGGCAGUGGAACAGAAAUCAGGAGAAUCAAAGGCUGGACCUACUCCAGGAUGCAGUUGCAAACCCAUCUACUUACUGCAACGAGAGGGAUGUGUUAGGAGACUCCCAGCCAAUGGAGUCCCAGUCUCAGCUGGAACCUGCACCAAAAGUCAAUUGCUAUGGUAAGAGGAAGAGCACAUAUGUACAUCUAGUAUUUUAGAAGUGUCUAGAACAUUUCUUAAGGUUCUGAACUUCCUCUCCACCACACUCAGCCUGCAGACCUGUGACUGGCUGUUGUUAUCAAGUGUGGCACAUUAUUUCUCUCAGCAUUUUUCAACCACCCAAACGGAUGCCUCCUUAUCACACAAAACCAAGCAAAACUGUUGGUUUGUGGACAAAGACACCAACCAGGUGCUCUCACUGCUCUAUCUGUUCACCAGACGUGGAUGUCAUUAUCAGCAUGUGGCAACCCUGACAUCAUUGUUUGGCAUCCCUCAAGUCCAGCAGGAGCGAUGCGGCCUGACAAGGGAGAUUCUGUUUUUAAUAAAUCCCAUUUUGGCUAAAGGCAAUGCUUCUCUUUCCCUGGAGAGAAUGAUCAGUUUCACGUGAAGCUGCUUUUUGCAUGCACGGAACUGCACAUGCUGGGAACUACUUGAAAAGUGGGAAAAGAUGUCCAUGUACAACCACAGAUACACCUUUGGGCCAGGAAUGGUUUUCAAAGACAUAAUUUCCCAUUUAAUGUUGUAACACUAUGCAUUAUUUUAAUGCU